GAUGCUGUUGGGAAACCCUGAUCUAAAGAAACAUCAGGCCGGGCGCGGUGGCUCACGCCUGUAUGGGAGGUCGAGGCGGGUGGAUCACGAGGUCAGGAGAUCGAGACCACGGUGAAACCCCGUCUCUACUAAAAAUACAAAAAAAUUUAGCCGGGCGCGGUGGCGGGCGCCUGUAGCCCCAGCUACUCGGGAGGCUGAGCCAGGAGAAUGGCGUGAACCCGGGAGGCAGAGCUUGCAAUGAGCCGAGAUCGCGCCACGGCACUCCAGCCUGGGCAACAGAGCGAGACUCCAUCUUAAAAAAAAAAAAAAAGAAACAUCAGUGGAAGAGGAAGAAACUGCAGGUACAGGAAUAAACUUACGUGAUCCUCAUUUCAAGGAGAAGAAGGAGAAGUUGAAGAAGGAGGAGAAGGAGAAGGAUGAGAAGAAAAACAAGAAGAGGAAGGAGAAGGAGGAGGAAAAUGAGAAGGAGAAGAAGAGAAGGAACAGCAGCAGUUGCAGGAGGAGGAGAAAGAGGAGGAGGAGGAGAACAGAGUGUGCAGAAGCUGGGGGGGAUUCCAAUGUUGGAAGCAUUUUUAGCAUACAACAACAUCCAAGUGGAUUACGAUGAAUGCCUAGACCUCUAUGGCAAACAGUCUCUUCGUGGCCUGUGCUGAGGACUACAUCAGUCUCCUGCAAUUAUCAUCUACACUGAAAAACAAAGAGGACAGAGGCAAAGCUAGUGGCCCUCACCAUCCCCUGCAAGCUGAUUGCUUCUUACUGCAAGCACUUGAGCAUCUUCCUGAGAGCUUUCUUGGGCAAUGGGAACCAGGCUUGGCCCAUUCACAGGCAGGUGAGAAGUAUGAGGAAAUGGAGAAGGCAUUGUCCAAGGAGCAGUCUUCAACCUUCGCCCCGCAAGUGAGACAACUCUGAAUAAGAUGUGUUCUACACUCUCUUCCAAAGGUCCCCAGUUGGAUGGAGCUCUAGCUGCUCAUGUGAUAAGCUGCCUAUUAAUACACAAAAGAUUGCCUUUCCUCCUUGCUCUGUCUUCCUGCUGCUCUCCUACUAAUGUUUCCUGGGAUUGCCUCCAAAUAAACCACUUGAACUCACAUAUUAGUGUUAUUGUCAGUUGGAAGAUUUUAGUGUUUUAGAUAUAUAGGAGCUCUUCUGCUUUUAAGAUUGCCAAUUUCUUCUUUCUUCAGAGCAGUAUUCAUACCUGGCCCGUAUUAUUUUUUUCUGGAAGUAUUUUAUUAUUGCUUAAAAAUACCAGGAAGAUUACCAUGAAAACUGUACAUUUAUAAUUUAAGGAUGGAAUCUUCAUGUAGUUUCUUAAACCUCAGAGGUGAAGGUAUUACAUAUUCCAGAAAUUCAGGAAACUUUCUGUGUUAUAGAAUAGCAGGAUAUUGAAACCUACAUUCUCUGGUUAGGAGAAUGCCUACAUGAUUUUUAAAUAAUUGGUCUAUGGGCUGCCCAUGGUGGCUCACAUCUGUAAUCCCAGCACUUUGGGAGGCCGAGGCAGGUAGAUCACUUGAGGCCAGGAGUUCGAGACCAGCCUGGGAAACAUGGUGAAAUGCCGUCUCUACUAAAAAUACACAAAUUAGCUGGGUGUGAGGGUGUGUCCCUGUAAUCCCAGCUACUUGGGAGGCUGAGGCACAAGAAUUGCUCAAACCUGGUAUGCGGAGGUUGCAGUGAGCCAAGAUUGCACCACUGCACUCCAGCCUGGCUGACAGAGUGAGACCCUGUCUCAAAAAAAAAAAAAAAAAAAAAAGAAUUGGUCUGUGAAUAGUGAUAGCAAACAUAGCAUAUUUUUCUUAUUCAAAGAAAUAAUUAUUGAGAUCCUAUUAUGUAUAUGUUUUGUAAACUGGUCCCCUAUGCAUGGUGGGGCCCCACUUAAGCUCAGGACUAGAUACUUACCAAAUCCUGGAGAAGGGCCUGCUUGCUUCUAAGUUUCCUUGCUUUGUGGAAUUUAAAGUGAUUGUCAUACCCAAGUAAGAGAUGCUUAGGGGGUGAGGAGAGGAUUAAUACAGAGGCUAAGUUCUUAUUCAAAUGCAGCUCAGUUUUAGAUCUCAUUUUAUGGCCAUCAUCCCAUACAGAUUUGCCAAGAAGCAUUCCAAAAUGAUUCUUGACAAUUAGCUAUCAAAUAGAAAAAGAAAUAAGAUACUUGGCCGGGCGCGGUGGCUCAUGCCUGUAAUCCCAACACUUUGGGAGGCUGAGGUGGGAGGAUCAUGAGGUCAGGAGGUCGAGACUGGCACCACAGAAGUCAUUUCUCUAGUUUAUCCCUUCAGAAGUGGCUUACAUGGUAUAAGGCACUGCAAAAAUAAAUAAAUAUUUGUGGCUAGUACCAUAAUAGCAUAUCCCCUGUGAUGAGG
ensembl:lincRNA